rnacentral:rRNA from 1 species
AGGACGAACGCUGGCGGCGUGCUUAACACAUGCAAGUCGAGCGGUGAUCCUCCUUCGGGAGGUGAUCAGCGGCGAACGGGUGAGUAACACGUGGGCAACCUGCCCCUCACACUGGGAUAACCUCGGGAAACCGGGGCUAAUACUGGAUACGACCUCGAGCGGCAUCUCUUGAGGUGGAAAGCUCCGACGGUGAGGGAUGGGCCCGCGGCCUAUCAGCUUGUUGGUGGGGUAAUGGCCUACCAAGGCGACGACGGGUAGCCGGCCUGAGAGGGCGACCGGCCACACUGGGACUGAGACACGGCCCAGACUCCUACGGGAGGCAGCAGUGGGGAAUAUUGCGCAAUGGGCGAAAGCCUGACGCAGCGACGCCGCGUGAGGGAUGAAGGCCUUCGGGUUGUAACCUCUUUCAGCAGGGACGAAGCGAAAGUGACGGUACCUGCAGAAGAAGCACCGGCUAACUACGCGCCAGCAGCCGCGGUAA